CAGUAGCCACGGUAAUACGAAGGGUGCAAGCGUUAAUCGGAAUUACUGGGCGUAAAGCGUGCGUAGGCGGUUUGUUAAGUCUGUUGUGAAAUCCCCGGGCUCAACCUGGGAAUGGCAAUGGAUACUGGCAGGCUAGGGUGUGUCAGAGGAUGGUGGAAUUCCCGGUGUAGCGGUGAAAUGCGUAGAGAUCGGGAGGAACAUCAGUGGCGAAGGCGGCCAUCUGGGACAACACUGACGCUGAGGCACGAAAGCGUGGGGCGCAAACAGGAUUAGAUACCCGCGUAGUCCCUGUCUCUUAUAC
rnacentral:rRNA from 1 species